rnacentral:pre_miRNA from 1 species
UACUUAGGAAGGCGUUAUUCACUUAUAUUGAAUUUUGAAAGGCAUCUCUCUGAGUGUA